AUUGAACGCUGGCGGCAGGCUUAACACAUGCAAGUCGAACGAGUGGCGGACGGGUGAGUAAUGUAUGGGAAACUGCCUUAUGGAGGGGGAUAACUACUGGAAACUGUCGCUAAUACCGCGUACCAUCGGAUGUGCCCAUAUGGGAUUAGGUAGUUGGUGGGGUAAUGGCUCACCUAGGCGACGCUCCCUAGCUGGUCUGAGAGGAUGACCAGCCACACCGGAACUGAGCAACGGUCCAGACUCCUACGGGAGGCAGCAGUGGGGAAUAUUGCACAAUGGGCGCAAGCCGGAUGCAGCCAUGCCGCGUGUGUGAAGAAGGCCUUCGGGUUGUAAAGUACUUUCAGCGAGGAGGCGUUACUCGCAGAAGAAGCACCGGCUAACUCCGUGUCAGCAGCCGCGGUAAUAC
rnacentral:rRNA from 1 species